GUUGUAUGGUUAAGUGACUAAGCGUACACGGUGGAUGCCUUGGCAGUCAGAGGCGAUGAAAGACGUAAUAACUUGCGAUAAGCCCAGAUUAGGUAGUAAUAACCUUUUGAGUCUGGGAUUCCUGAAUGGGGAAACCCACG
rnacentral:rRNA from 1 species